GUUAUAGGUUAUGAACGUGAGAAACACAGUAAAAUUAAAGCAGACAAUUGAUUACAAAAGUUCAUGUAGAAGGCUAGACAUAGAACUAGACAAACUCAUCAGCAGAAGGAAUUUCAGGACAAUAUUGCACAACAUCGGAUAUCAGAGGCCAAAGAAAGCUAUUCGGAUUCGCUGGAGAAGGAAAGAUGAAAUAUCAGAAAGACUAUAAUAAGGAAUCAAUUAAGAAGCUAGAAGAGAAGGUGAUGGAGAA
rnacentral:sRNA from 1 species